rnacentral:rRNA from 1 species
GGGAACCGCCUGAACUGAAACAUCUAAGUAGGGCGAGGAAGAGACAUCAAACGAGAUUCCGUAAGUAGUGGCGAGCGAACGCGGAAGAGGGCAAACCGAGAGUAGAAAUACUUUCGGGGUACGGACUGCUUUUAAGACUUAAUCUGUUAACCGAACGGCAUGGGAAGGCCGGUCAGAGAGUGUGAGAACCACGUAGGUGAAAACGGAGAGAGCUGCGCAGGAUCCAGAGUACGGCCAGACACGUGAAACCUGGUCGGAAUACGGGGGGACCACCCUCCAACCCUAAAUACUACCCAGUGACCGAUAGCGUAUAGUACUGUGAAGGAAAGGUGAAAAGCACCCCGGGAGGGGAGUGAAAAAGAACCUGAAACCCUGUGCCUACAAGCACCUAGAGCGCGUCAAAGCGUGAUAGGGUACUUUUUGUAGAACGGUCCGGCGAGCGAUUGUAUGCAGCAAGGUUAAGGACUUAAGGUCUGGAGCCGAAGCGAAAGCGAGUUUGAAAAGGGCGUUAAGUUGCAUAUAAUGGGCCCGAAACCGGGUGACCUACCCAUGGUCAGGUUGAAGUGGAAGUAAAAUUCCAUGGAGGACCGAACCGACCUCCGUUGAAAAGGCGGCGGAUGAACUGUGGGUAGCGGAGAAAUUCCAAUCGAACCCGGAGAUAGCUGGUUCUCCCCGAAAUAGUUUUAGGACUAGCCUCAAGUUAGAUACCUGGAGGUAAAGCACUGAAUAGCCUAGCGGCCGAGAGGUUAGCGAAGCUUAUCAAACUCAGAAUGCCAGAGUAUUGAUGCUUGGGAGUCAGACAGUGUCAGAUAAAUGUCAUUGUCAAAAGGGAAACAGCCCAGAUCUACAGCUAAGGUCCCAAAGUCAGGUUAAGUGGAAAACGAUGUGAAGAUACGCAGACAACCAGGAUGUUGGCUCAGAAGCAGCCACUCAUUCAAAGAGUGCGUAAUAGCUCACUGGUCGAGCGUCUUUGCGCGGAGAAUUUAACGGGGCUAAACCUGACACCGAAGCUUAGGCAAUACAGCAAUGUAUUGGGUAGGGGAGCGUUGUAUACGCGGAGAAACAGUAGCGCAAGCGGCUGUGGAGUGUAUAGAAGUGAGAAUGCCGGAAUGAGUAGCGCGAAUGCAGUGAGAAUCUGCAUGGCCGAAAGCCUCAGGUUUCUGGAGGAAGGUUCGUCCGCUCCAGGUUAGUCGGGAGCUAAGGUGAGGCCGAAAGGCGUAGCCGAUGCACAGACGGUAGAGAUUCCGUCACCACCAAAAGAGUUAAGCACAGGGACACAUUUGAAGUCUCAGAGCCGGGUGUUGGUUCCGGUAGAGAUCGAGGGAAAUUAGUACCGAAGUCUGAGAUGGAAGAUGGCGAGAAAAGCUGUGUGUAUUUCUGAGGUGCCCGUACCGCAAACCGACACAGGUAGGUAGGAAGAAGAUUCUAAGGCCAACGGGAGAAGGGUUGUUAAGGAACUCGGCAAAUUGACCCCGUAACUUCGGGAGAAGGGGUGCUCCAGAGAUGGAGCCGCAGAGAAUCGGCCCAAGCAACUGUUUACCAAAAACACAGGUUUGUGCUAAAUCGAAAGAUGACGUAUACGAGCUGACGCCUGCCCGGUGCUGGAAGGUUAAGAGGAGAUGUGCAAGCAUUGAAUCGAAGCCCCAGUGAACGGCGGCCGUAACUAUAACGGUCCUAAGGUAGCGAAAUUCCUUGUCAGGUAAGUUCUGACCCGCAUGAAAGGCGUAAUGAUUUGGGCACUGUCUCAACAGCCCGCCCGGCGAAAUUGUAGUACCGGUGAAGAUGCCGGUUACCCGCGACAAGACGGAAAGACCCCAUGGAGCUUUACUGUAGCCUAAUAUUGGGUUUCGAUGUUGCAUGCACAGGAUAGAUGGGACUCUUGGAAACCAAGGCUUUGGCUUUGGCGGAGAGGCCGUUGGGAUACCAUCCUUGCGAUAUUGGAAUUCUAACCUGCGGCUCUGAAUCGAGUCGGGGGACAUUGUUAGGUGGGCAGUUUGACUGGGGCGGUCGCCUCCUAAAGAGUAACGGAGGCGUUCAAAGGUUCGCUCAGCUUGAACGGAAAUCAAGCAAAAGAGUGCAAACGCAGAAGCGAGCCUAACUGCGAGACUGACGGGUCGAGCAGUAACGAAAGUUGGAGUUAGUGAUCCGGUGGUAUGUGAGUGGAAAUGCCAUCGCUCAACGGAUAAAAGUUACCCUGGGGAUAACAGGCUGAUCUCCCCCAAGAGUCCACAUCGACGGGGAGGUU